AUGAACGCUGGCGGCGUGCCUCAUACAUGCAAGUCGAGCGAACAGACGAGGAGCUUGCUCCUCUGACGUUAGCGGCGGACGGGUGAGUAACACGUGGAUAACCUACCUAUAAGACUGGGAUAACUUCGGGAAACCGGAGCUAAUACCGGAUAAUAUAUUGAACCGCAUGGUUCAAUAGUGAAAGACGGUUUUGCUGUCACUUAUAGAUGGAUCCGCGCCGCAUUAGCUAGUUGGUAAGGUAACGGCUUACCAAGGCAACGAUGCGUAGCCGACCUGAAAGGGUGAUCGGCCACACUGGAACUGAGACACGGUCCAGACUCCUACGGGAGGCAGCAGUAGGGAAUCUUCCGCAAUGGGCGAAAGCCUGACGGAGCAACGCCGCGUGAGUGAUGAAGGUCUUCGGAUCGUAAAACUCUGUUAUUAGGGAAGAACAAAUGUGUAAGUAACUAUGCACGUCUUGACGGUACCUAAUCAGAAAGCCACGGCUAACUACGUG
rnacentral:rRNA from 1 species